rnacentral:ncRNA from 1 species
GCGCAGGGGGUGCCGGUUAUGGCUGAGAGGGGAAACCCAACCCUAUGAACCUGAUGUGGUUAGUGCCACCGUAGGGAGCGGAUGAUG